rnacentral:rRNA from 1 species
GCAUGGCUGUCGUCAGCUCGUGUCGUGAGAUGUUGGGUUAAGUCCCGCAACGAGCGCAACCCUCGCCCUUAGUUGCCAGCAUUUAGUUGGGCACUCUAAGGGGACUGCCGGUGAUAAGCCGAGAGGAAGGUGGGGAUGACGUCAAGUCYUCAUGGCCUUACGGGCUGGGCUACACACGUGCUACAAUGGUGGUGACAGUGGGCAGCGAGCACGCGAGUGUGAGCUAAUCUCCAAAAGCCAUCUCAGUUCGGAUUGCACUCUGCAACUCGAGUGCAUGAAGUUGGAAUCGCUAGUAAUCGCGGAUCAG